AUCUUCUUCUUCGCGUAAAAAACAAACAUUCCAGCAGCCUGCCGCGUCCCUCCCUCUCUCCCUUAUCCUCUCGUACGAAAAUGGUACUCGAAGGCCCCAGGUGUCGAAAUCUUCCUUCCCUCUCGUCCUUCCCCUCAAUUGGACGUCCCAGAUUUCUUUUUCCGUUGAGCGAUUGUACAGGUUUGUACUAUUCAUCCUUUUAGGGUUUUUGGAUUUCAAAACGGGACAUGGAAUCACGAUUUUACCCCAGCCCUUUUUGUGAUUUCCUCCGCUCUCCAUCCGUCAAAAAUUGCUAUAUAUUGCUAUCUGCUCGCUGUCAAGGGGAUUUUUAGAGGAGGAGAGAAAUUUUAGCAAUUUUGAGUUGUCAUUAGUUUGGAAAUUAUCCAUAGAGCAUUAUUAGUGAGAUACUUGAAACAGGGUGUAUGGACAGAAAUCUUUGAUCGUUCGCCGAUUUCUUUGUCUACCAUUUGUGAAGGAAGCUUUUCUCGUGUUGGGAUCGAUCGUCUUCUGCUCAUUGUCUCAGUCCGCUCUUCGAAGAAGGACUCCAGUCUCGCAUAUCCUUGAGUCAUAUCGAGUCAGCCUUUGAUGUUCAGGGAGGGCGGAAGCAAAGCCAAUGCCGAAAACAGCAAAAAAAUACAUUGCCGAAAUUUGACUGCAGUUCUUUUGAAGCUGUAUACAUAUUUUAUACACCAUUAUACAGGUCGAAACGUGCACAGGGGGGCCAAAUUCAAAGUGCAGGUCAAUAGCAAUGAAAACAUACUGCUGUAAAAGAACUUUCAGCUUUCGAAAGUUGAAGAGCAAGUCGAUAUACUAUCUGUAUACACUGAUAUACAGACGCGUUAUACCACAGAUAGAUGUAAAAAUGUGAAAUGCAGGUUUAACGUAUAGGGAUGUCGAAUUCAAGUAAAAAUGCAGGAAUAACAAAUAAAUACAUGUACGGAAUAUAGCCCGUGUACACUGGUAUACACAAUUUAUACAGCGAUACAAUAGUAAAAACAGUAUUACAGUA